UGGGGAAUUUUGGACAAUGGGGGAAACCCUGAUCCAGCCAUCCCGCGUGUGCGAUGAAGGCCUUCGGGUUGUAAAGCACUUUUGGCAGGAAAGAAACGUCGCGGGUUAAUACCCCGCGGAACUGACGGUACCUGCAGAAUAAGCACCGGCUAACUACGUGCCAGCAGCCGCGGUAAUACGUAGGGUGCAAGCGUUAAUCGGAAUUACUGGGCGUAAAGCGUGCGCAGGCGGUUCGGAAAGAAAGAUGUGAAAUCCCAGAGCUUAACUUUGGAACUGCAUUUUUAACUACCGGGCUAGAGUGUGUCAGAGGGAGGUGGAAUUCCGCGUGUAGCAGUGAAAUGCGUAGAUAUGCGGAGGAACACCGAUGGCGAAGGCAGCCUCCUGGGAUAACACUGACGCUCAUGCACGAAAGCGUGGGGAGCAAACAGGAUUAGAUACCCUGGUAGUCCACGCCCUAAACGAUGUCAACUAGCUGUUGGGGUCUUCGGACCUUGGUAGCGCAGCUAACGCGUGAAGUUGACCGCCUGGGGAGUACGGUCGCAAGAUUAAAACUUAAAGGAAUUGACGGGGGUGCAUAGCUG
rnacentral:rRNA from 1 species